rnacentral:misc_RNA from 1 species
GAUGAAGAACGUAGCGAAAUGCGAUAAGUAAUGUGAAUUGCAGAAUUCAGUGAAUCAUCGAAUCUUUGAACGCACAUUGCGCCCCCUGGUAUUCCGGGGGGCAUGCCUGUUCGAGCGUCAUUACAACCCUCAAGCUCUGCUUGGUAUUGGGCCCCGCCAGUUCUGGCGGGCCCUAAAGUCAGUGGCGAUGCCUUCCGGCUCCGAGCGUAGUAAUUCUUCUCGCUCUGGAGACCCGGUUGUGUGCUUGCCAACAACCCCCAAUUUUUUAAGGUUGACCUCGGAUCAGGUAGGGAUACCCGCUGAACUUAAGCAUAUCAAUAAGCGGAGGA